UCUCCUUUUCCUUGGCACUUUCUCGGGUAGGGCCGCGGCGCUCAGCGGCUGGAGGUCGGACGGAAUUCGGAGGAAACCUACAGAGUCUCGGCCUUGCCCAGCGGUGGCGUCGGUGCUCCAGGCCGAUCUCCGAGCCAGCAGAAAAGCCACAGAGGGCAGCGGAUGCGGCAGCGGGCGGCAGAACACAGGGAGAAACACCCCGCGCAAUACGCGGCAGCUGAUGCGACUUCCAUCCUGGAGGGAAAAGACGUUCCCUAGUCGGCUCGACGCUUCAACACCAUCGAUAGGAGCCAGCCCACGGCCUCGGCGGUGGUUUUCUGAGUGACAGAAGGUUGAAGAACCCCUGAGCAACGCGACACCGGAAGGGCUAGGUAGGUUGGCUGGUGCGGUGGAAGCGAAGCCCAAAAUGGCCGCAGGGCCCGCGCGCCGGCAGGACACCUCCCAGCCGCCGGAAGAGACGCAGGACUGCUGGGCGUCUACGCCACUAGCGCCGCGCCGCCCAACGCCUCUCGCAAAGCCCCGGGGGGCGGGGCUUUCCGCCCACUUCCGUGUGGCCGCCGAUUGGUCGCGCCGGAUUUCCCUGUCGGCUUCCUUACUCGAGGUAGCGCCGCACGGUAGCGCGAGGUUGCAUCAGCCGGCGGGAUGCAGGCAUGCGCAGUUUCUGUGUGGUCUCUUAGGCGACCGCCCCAACAGCCCUCUAGGCUAAAGGGCUUGGGUAGGAAAGGGGUUUUCAAGAUAACCCGAGAAUUUCCCGGAGGCGUUUUGAUGGCCUAAUACACACUAACGUGCGUACAGUCAUCGCCUCGUAUGAAAUGGGGAUUAGUUCCAGGACGCCGUAGACACCAGAAUCGGCAGAUUCUGGUCAAGUCCCUUAUGUAAAAUGGUGUAGUGUUUGCAUAUAACCUACAUACACCUUCCCAGAUACUUUAAAUCAUCCCCUAGAUUAAGUAAAUUACCUAAUACAAUGCAAGUGCUAUGGAA